rnacentral:rRNA from 1 species
AGCGAACGCUGGCGGCAGGCUUAACACAUGCAAGUCGAGCGCCCGUAGCAAUACGGGAGCGGCAGACGGGUGAGUAACACGUGGGAACGUGCCUUUUGGUUCGGAACAACUGAGGGAAACUUCAGCUAAUACCGGAUAAGCCCUUACGGGGAAAGAUUUAUCGCCAAAAGAUCGGCCUGCGUCUGAUUAGCUAGUUGGUGGGGUAAUGGCCCACCAAGGCUACGAUCAGUAGCUGGCUGAGGGGAUGAUCAGCCACACUGGGACUGAGACACGGCCCAGACUCCUACGGGAGGCAGCAGUGGGGAAUCUUGGACAAUGGGCGCAAGCCUGAUCCAGCCAUGCCGCGUGAGUGAUGAAGGCCUUAGGGUUGUAAAGCUCUUUCAGCGGGGAAGAUAAUGACGGUACCCGCAGAAGAAGCCCCGGCUAACUUCGUGCCAGCAGCCGCGGCAAU